CGAGUAAGUCAGAUGAUCGCGGGUGCAGUGCCGAAAGGCCGCACACGAGGAAAGUCCGAGCUCCAUAGGGCAGGGUGCUGGGUAACUCCCAGUGGAGGCGACUCUAAGGAAAGUGCAACAGAGAUAUACCGCUAACCUCAAUUUGAGAAGCAAGGGUGGAAAGGUGAGGUAAGAGCUCACCAGCGGUUAGGUGACUAACCGGCUAUGUAAACCCCAUCUGGAGCAACACCGUAUAGAGGAGAGUUAAGUUGGCCCGACGUUCUCCCGGGUAGGUGGCUUGAGUUAUGCAGAAAUGUAUGGCCUAGAUAGAUGAUCAUCCAAUACAGAACUCGGCUUAUAGAUUUGCUCGUUAU
rnacentral:RNase_P_RNA from 1 species